rnacentral:rRNA from 1 species
UGGGGAAUAUUGGACAAUGGGGGAAACCCUGAUCCAGCAAUGUCGCGUGAGUGAAGAAGGCCUUCGGGUUGUAAAACUCUUUCAGCAGUGAAGAUAAUGACUGUAACUGAAGAAGAAGCUCCGGCUAACUCCGUGCCAGCAGCCGCGGUAAUACGGAGGGGGCUAGCGUUGUUCGGAAUUACUGGGCGUAAAGAGCGCGUAGGCGGACUAAAAAGUUAGACGUGAAAUCCCUAAGCUCAACUUAGGAACUGCGUUUAAAACUGUUAGUCUAGAAUUUGGGAGGGGGUAGUAGAAUUUCCAGUGUAGAGGUGAAAUUCGUAGAUAUUGGAAAGAAUACCGGUGGCGAAGGCGACUACCUGGACCAACAUUGACGCUAAGGCGCGAAGGCGUGGGUAGCAAACAGG